rnacentral:tRNA from 1 species
GUGGCUGUAGCUCAGUGGUAGAGCGUCUGCCUUGCACGUAUGAGGAACUGGGUUUGAUCUUCAGCACCACA